rnacentral:rRNA from 1 species
UGGGGAAUAUUGGACAAUGGGCGCAAGCCUGAUCCAACCAUGCCGCGUGUGUGAAGAAGGCCUUUCGGUUGUAAAGCACUUUAAGCGAGGAGGAGGCUACUUGGAUUAAUACUCUAAGAUAGUGGACGUUACUCGCAGAAUAAGCACCGGCUAACUCUGUGCCAGCAGCCGCGGUAAUACAGAGGGUGCGAGCGUUAAUCGGAUUUACUGGGCGUAAAGCGUGCGUAGGCGGCUUCUUAAGUCGGAUGUGAAAUCCCUGAGCUUAACUUAGGAAUUGCAUUCGAUACUGGGAAGCUAGAGUAUGGGAGAGGAUGGUAGAAUUCCAGGUGUAGCGGUGAAAUGCGUAGAGAUCUGGAGGAAUACCGAUGGCGAAGGCAGCCAUCUGGCCUAAUACUGACGCUGAGGUACGAAAGCAUGGGGAGCAAACAGG